GAAAAUAUUUGCCCACGCCUGCUUAGAGUAUCUUUUGAAAAGAGAUGAUUAUCUGAUGAAAGGAGGGAAACAACUGAAAGGUCCUCAAAUUCAUGUUGAAUAUGGUCAUCCUUCAAUAUGAUUACACCACAUCUGAGAGGGAAAAAAACAGAUACAGCUGUUCUUUGAAGUGAUAUAUUCUUUACUUUCAUUUGUGGGUUUUUCGGUGCAUUUGUCUGGUAAUGUAAAAGAGCAAGGUUACUAGUACCAUGUGCCACUUCAACUACAAAAUGAUAGAUGCAAUAAUACAACGAGAAAUCUGCAAAUAAAGGCUGUCCAGUAAUAGCAGAAUGGCUUAUCGGCAAACCCAACAAUAGGAAAAAGCAGGGGAGAAAGUGAGUGGUGUUUUGAGAGGGGCAGCUGGUGUGUUUCCUUGGUUGUGAUCGUUCUUGCUGCUAUUUUGGGACACACUCAGGAAGUGAUGUACAGACAGGCUGCUGAUGGAGAAGGCACAAGCAAACACGGCUCAACCAAAACAAGUGUGACUGAAUCUCCCGGGGUGCCCACUGGGUGGAUGACAAACAAAGGAGAGGAACUUUAUGAAAAUGACACACCUCAAGGAUUCUUCACUAAAUAUAUUUUGGUUUUUUUGAGUGUCGGCUUUAGCAAACUGCAAUCAAAUGUAUUUUACCCCUAACAAUGACUAUACAGCAGACCGAGCUCAACCGCGACUCGGUAACUUUUGUGCUUGUCCCAUGGAACUAAUUGUGUUCGGGAUGGAAUGAAUCGUGCGUGGCAGACUUGCGGUUGACUUCCUGUUUUUUUUUUUGCAAGUGAAAAUUAGUAUUGUUUUUUGCAACACACCUCCUGUGUCGCCUUUCCUAUGGCACCACCAUACAGUAUUUUGUUUUAUUGACCUAAAAUGGCAAUUAAAGUUUGAUAUUUAAUGUGUCUCACCCUACAAACAAUUCUCGUAAAGUGAAUUGUUUGUAGGGUGAGACAGCUUAUCGGAACAAGAGCUUUUAGCACGCACGUGUAAACAAUGCACAAUACCUGUAUGCAGUGAUGGGAAAAACGGCAUUAUAAGUAACGGUGGUGUUGUGUUUUUUUUUCAGCAAUACAACAUCGAACUACCGU